rnacentral:rRNA from 1 species
CCUACGGGUGGCAGCAGUGAGGAAUAUUGGUCAAUGGACGAGAGUCUGAACCAGCCAAGUAGCGUGAAGGAUGACUGCCCUAUGGGUUGUAAACUUCUUUUAUAUGGGAAUAAAACGUUCCACGUGUGGGAUUUUGUAUGUACCAUAUGAAUAAGGAUCGGCUAACUCCGUGCCAGCAGCCGCGGUAAUACGGAGGAUCCGAGCGUUAUCCGGAUUUAUUGGGUUUAAAGGGAGCGUAGGUGGAUUGUUAAGUCAGUUGUGAAAGUUUGCGGCUCAACCGUAAAAUUGCAGUUGAAACUGGCAGUCUUGAGUACAGUAGAGGUGGGCGGAAUUCGUGGUGUAGCGGUGAAAUGCUUAGAUAUCACGAAGAACUGCGAUUGCGAAGGCAGUUCACUGGACUGCAACUGACACUGAGGCUCGAAAGUGUGGGUAUCAAACAGGAUUAGAUACCCCUGUAGUC